rnacentral:misc_RNA from 1 species
CAGAGAACAUCGCCCUCACGGGUGACUCUCCAACCCUAUGUUAUACAACCUUUGUUGCUUUGGCGAGCCGCCUCGGCCGCUGGCUUCGGCUAGCGAGUGCUCGCCAGAGGACCCAACUCUUGUUUUUAGUGAUGUCUGAGUACUAUAUAAUAGUUA